rnacentral:rRNA from 1 species
AACGAACGCUGGCGGCAUGCCUAACACAUGCAAGUCGAACGAGACCUUCGGGUCUAGUGGCGCACGGGUGCGUAACGCGUGGGAACCUGCCCUUAGGUUCGGAAUAACUCCCCGAAAGGGGUGCUAAUACCGGAUAAUGUCUUCGGACAAAAGAUUCAUCGCCUUUGGAUGGGCCCGCGUUGGUUUAGCUAGUUGGUAGGGUAAAAGCCUACCAAGGCGACGAUCCAUAGCUGGUCUGAGAGGAUGAUCAGCCACACUGGGACUGAGACACGGCCCAGACUCCUACGGGAGGCAGCAGUGGGGAAUAUUGGACAAUGGGCGAAAGCCUGAUCCAGCAAUGCCGCGUGAGUGAUGAAGGCCUUAGGGUUGUAAAGCUCUUUUACCCGGGAUGAUAAUGACAGUACCGGGAGAAUAAGCUCCGGCUAACUCCGUG